rnacentral:rRNA from 1 species
GAUGAACGCUAGCGGCAGGCUUAACACAUGCAAGUCGAGGGGUAUAGUAGCAAUACUAGAGACCGGCGCACGGGUGCGUAACGCGUAUGCAACCUACCUUGAACAGGGGAAUAGCCCAGAGAAAUUUGGAUUAAUGCCCCAUAGCGUAUUGAGUUGGCAUCAGCACAAUACUAAAGUCACAACGGUUCAAGAUGGGCAUGCGUCCCAUUAGUUAGUUGGUAAGGUAACGGCUUACCAAGACGAUGAUGGGUAGGGGUCCUGAGAGGGAGAUCCCCCACACUGGUACUGAGACACGGACCAGACUCCUACGGGAGGCAGCAGUGAGGAAUAUUGGUCAAUGGGCGCAAGCCUGAACCAGCCAUGCCGCGUGCAGGAUGAAGCAUCUAUGGUGUGUAAACUGCUUUUGUACGGGAAGAAACAGCUCUUCGUGAAGAGCCUUGACGGUACCGUAAGAAUAAGGAUCGGCUAACUCCGUG